rnacentral:ncRNA from 1 species
AGCGAAGCCGUCGCUAUAUAAGGGAAAAUCAUUUAAAGAUAGUGAAUGACUGCGGUAUUACUAGCCGACGCAAUAAAUUAGUAGGGAUUAUACCAGCGUACCUAUUUCAAGCUAUAUAACCCCUAAAGGGUAGAAGAUGUAGCGACGCCCAUUCCGCUUAGCGAUGAAAUAGCGGAUAAAUCAGCUACGACGGGUAUGGUUUAAUCGCUAGAUUUCGAUUCUAGCAGCUGCGAAAGUGGCGGGAUUAUAUAGACGUAUCAGCAAUGAUACGAUACGUAGGGCAUGGAUUAAGACGCGUAAUAAUAUAUACGAUAGUAGAAUAUCGGCUAUAAAUA